CGGGCGCGGCGCCGGUUUAAGUCCCUUGGAACGGGGCGUCAUAGAGGGUGAGAAUCCCGUAUGUGACCGGUGACUAAGCCCAUGUGAAACUCCUUCGACGAGUCGAGUUGUUUGGGAAUGCAGCUCAAAAUGGGUGGUAAAUUUCAUCUAAAGCUAAAUACCGGCCAGAGACCGAUAGCGCACAAGUAGAGUGAUCGAAAGAUGAAAAGCACUUUGGAAAGAGAGUCAAAAAGUACGUGAAAUUGUUGAAAGGGAAGCGCUUGCAACCAGACCUGCCCGCGGGUGACCAGCCGUCCUUCUGGGCGGUGUACGCACCCGUGAUCAGGCCAGCAUCGGUUCAGGCGGCCGGAUAAAGGCCUUGGGAAUGUAGCUCCCUUCGGGGAGUGUUAUAGCCCUUGGCGCAAUGCGGCCAGCCUGGACCGAGGACCGCGCUCCGGCAAGGAUGCUGGCGUAAUGGUUGCAAGCGGCCCGUCUUGAAACACGGACCAAGGAGUCUAACAUCUAUGCGAGUGUUUGGGUGUCAAACUCAUACGCGUAAUGAAAGUGAACGGAGGUGGGAACCCUUAAGGGCGCACCAUCGACCGAUCCAGAUGUCUUCGGAUGGAUUUGAGUACGAGCAUAGCUGUUGGGACCCGAAAGAUGGUGAACUAUGCCUGAAUAGGGUGAAGCCAGAGGAAACUCUGGUGGAGGCUCGCAGCGGUUCUGACGUGCAAAUCGAUCGUCAAAUUUGGGUAUAGGGGCGAAAGACUAAUCGAACCAUC
rnacentral:rRNA from 1 species